AUAGGCUCCAGGAGAAGCAGAGCUUGGAGGUGUCUCAGUGGACAUGACAUCCAGUACUAACCCGAUAAUGAUAUCUGCAAGCCCUAUAUCUGUAAAUCAAUUGGUGCAUUAACCAACACCUCUCGGGGAACUAUCUUCAUCAGACAGCUUAUCCACAACCCAUUGUAGGCCUCUAAGCAGACCGAUGUGGGAGUUCCCGUUAAGGUUCUAUGGCUAGCAUUAUACAUCUAGCAGUGUCUGCAGCCCCAGUAAGUAUGAAAUGAGAGUAACUGAAAAGAUGGAUCCCUUGUUUAGAGGCUUGUGGAAGGCCAAGAGCUCAGAGGACGCUUUGAAAAGGAGACAAAGAGGAAGACAGGCUGCAGAACAAGACCAGAGUGCAGACAAUGAUAACAGAAGGAGAUCAAGGCAUGGUGAGGAUAAUGGAAG